rnacentral:rRNA from 1 species
UUAUAAGCGGAGGAAAAGAAACUAACUAGGAUUCCCUUAGUAGCGGCGAGCGAACAGGGAAAAGCCCAGCACCGAAUCCCGCGGUCGUAACCGAUCGCCGGGAAAUGUGGUGUUUGGAAGGAUCCGUUAUCCCGAUGUUUGACAAUGCGUCCAAGUCCAUCUUGAACGGGGCCACAACCCAUAGAGGGUGCCAGGCCCGUAGAGACCGUUGUCAAUGUCGGGAGGAUGUCUUCUGAGAGUCGGGUUGCUUGAGAGUGCAGCCCUAAGUGGGUGGUAAACUCCAUCUAAGGCUAAAUAUGACCACGAGACCGAUAGCGAACAAGUACCGUGAGGGAAAGUUGAAAAGAACUUUGAAGAGAGAGUUCAAUAGUACGUGAAACCGUUCAGGGGUAAACCUGAGAAACCCGAAAGGUCGAAGGGGGAGAUUCAUCGCGUCUCGCCUCGCCGGCACUGGGYGGUCGUGUGACGAAUGGCGUACGCGUCGUUUGCACCUUCUGCUCGCUGUGAACCGGUGGCGAACGUGUGCACUUCUCCCCUGGUAGGACGUCGCGAUCCGUUGGGUGUCGGUCUACGGCCCGUGGUGGAGCCCGUAGGCGAUGGCUUGCCAUUGUUUGCGGACCCACGGUGUUUCCCGGCCGACUCGCUCGACGGUGUACAGAUGGCGCAGGGCCGCGACUUAGUUCGCGUCUGGCCCGUGGCAAGCACGGUUAGGUGUGUUGGCGAUCGGACCUAGUGCCGGUCCCGGCCCCUGGCGGCUGUUGGCUGCGGUGUUCUCGGACAGACCUUGUUGAAACGCCAAUCUGCGACGCUAUUGCUUUGGGUACUUUCAGGACCCGUCUUGAAACACGGACCAAGGAGUCUAGCAUGUGCGCAAGUCAUUGGGACAUCACUAAACCCAAAGGCGUAAUGAAAGUAAAGGCUCGUCUUGUGCGAGCCUAGGGAAGAUGGGCGUGCCGUUCCUAAUACGGCGGCCGUCCCGCAUUCCCGGGGCGUCUCGUUCUCAUUGCGAGAAGAGGCGCACCAAGAGCGUACACGCUGGGACCCGAAAGAUGGUGAACUAUGCCUGGUCAGGACGAAGUCAGGGGAAACCCUGAUGGAGGUCCGUAGCGAUUCUGACGUGCAAAUCGAUCGUCGGAACUGGGUAUAGGGGCGAAAGACUAAUCGAACCAUCUAGUAGCUGGUUCCCUCCGAAGUUUCCCUCAGGAUAGCUGGCGCUCGUUGCGUACGAGUCUCAUCCGGUAAAGCGAAUGAUUAGAGGCAUUGGGGUCGAAACGACCUCAACCUAUUCUCAAACUUUAAAUGGGUGAGAUCUCCGGCUUGCUCGAACAUGAAGCCGUGAGAAUAACGGAUCAGAGUGCCAAGUGGGCCAUUUUUGGUAAGCAGAACUGGCGCUGUGGGAUGAACCAAACGCCGAGUUAAAGCGCCUAAAUCGACGCUUAUGGGACACCAUGAAAGGCGUUGGUAACUUAAGACAGCAGGACGGUGGCCAUGGAAGUCGGAAUCCGCCAAGGAGUGUGUAACAACUCACCUGCCGAAGUUACUAGCCCUGAAAAUGGAUGGCGCUGAAGCGUCGUGCUUAUACUCGGCCGUCAGCGGCAUGUGCGACAUGUACGUCGCCUCGGUGGCGUACGGUCAUGAAGCCCUGACGAGUAGGAGGGUCGCGGCGGUGUGCGCAGAAGGGCUGGUCGUAGGACCGUCUGGAGCCGCCGUCGGUGCAGAUCUUGGUGGUAGUAGCAAAUACUCCAGCGAGGCCCUGGAGGACUGACGUGGAGAAGGGUUUCGUGUGAACAGCUGUUGCACACGAGUCAGUCGAUCCUAAGCCCUAGGCGAAAGCCGAUGUUGAUGUGGUGUAGUUUUCAAGAUAAACGUAUAUGUGUGCUGCGCACUGCUGCUUGCUGCGUGUAUGUAUAUGUAUGUGUUGUGUYUGUGUGUAUAAGUUAGCUCUUGCCACUGUGUGCUACCUACCGCGUGUGUAGUUGGUUCUGUGCUGCGUGGCCAUUAUAGAGGUUCUACACCUUUCCCUGAUGGUCCCGAUACCAGCACGUCCAGCUAUGUCACUGCGGUAACCACAUUACUGGUUUGAAACGAACAUAAGCACACGACAUGUGUCACUGCUAUGCAAAGAAACACGCGCUCGCAUUUAAAAGUAGUGUUGUAUGUACACGUAUUGCACGUGUAAUUAAUUACUAAGUUCACACCCAUUGGGCGAAAGGGAAUCCGGUUCCUAUUCCGGAACCCGGCAGCGGAACCGUCAAUAAUUCGGGCCCUUGCAAAAGAGUUCGUCGGGGCAACCCAAAAGGACCCGGAGACGCCGUCGGGAGAUCCGGGAAGAGUUUUCUUUUCUGCAUGAGCGUUCGAGUUCCAUGGAAUCCUCUAGCAGGGAGAUAUGGUUUGGAACGCGAAGAGCACCGCAGUUGCGGCGGUGUCCGGAUCUUCCCCUCGGACCUUGAAAAUCCGGGAGAGGGCCACGUGGAGGCGUCGCGCCGGUUCGUACCCAUAUCCGCAGCAGGUCUCCAA